rnacentral:rRNA from 1 species
ACAAGCCCUGGAAACGGGGUCUAAUACCGGAUAUGACGCACGACCGCAUGGUCUGUGUGUGGAAAGCUCCGGCGGUGCAGGAUGAGCCCGCGGCCUAUCAGCUUGUUGGUGGGGUAGUGGCCUACCAAGGCGACGACGGGUAGCCGGCCUGAGAGGGCGACCGGCCACACUGGGACUGAGACACGGCCCAGACUCCUACGGGAGGCAGCAGUGGGGAAUAUUGCACAAUGGGCGAAAGCCUGAUGCAGCGACGCCGCGUGAGGGAUGACGGCCUUCGGGUUGUAAACCUCUUUCAGCAGGGAAGAAGCGAGAGUGACGGUACCUGCAGAAGAAGCACCGGCUAACUACGUGCCAGCAGCCGCGGUAAUACGUAGGGUGCGAGCGUUGUCCGGAAUUAUUGGGCGUAAAGAGCUCGUAGGCGGCUUGUCACGUCGGUUGUGAAAGCCCGGGGCUUAACCCCGGGUCUGCAGUCGAUACGGGCAGGCUAGAGUUCGGUAGGGGAGAUCGGAAUUCCUGGUGC